AUUAAUCCCGCUAUUAAAUUAACCCUGAGUAGUAACAGCUACCUCCAAACUCAAAGAAUUUGGCGGCAACUUUCCCCAUUAGAGGAACCUGCCCCGUAAUUGAUGCUCCACGAGCCAAAUAACCUAGUUUAAAAGUUUGUAUACCGCCGUUUAGGGUAUAUUGUAAAAUACGCCCGUAAUUAAUUUUUUAAAAAUUUCAGGUCAAGGUGCAGCCUAUAAUUAGGAGGAGGUGGGUUACAAUAUUUGUGCAUAAACGGAUUUAAAUUAGAAUUGUUUAUUGAAGGUGGAUUUAAAAGUAAGGUUAAGUUAAUGACCUGAAGGGGUCCU
rnacentral:rRNA from 1 species